UGGACGUAGGGCCAUGAGGGGGUAGGUCUUGUCUAUAAGACGAGUACACCUACUGCGGAUUUGUAACCUAACCUAACUAUAUUAUCUUUACGUGGUUUGGUCAAGCUUCUCCUUCCACUGCCAAAAUGCGUAGAAGUAUUCUCAUGGCUCAUAUUUUUGAACUUGUAAGACAUGAAAAUUUAUAUU
rnacentral:telomerase_RNA from 1 species